GUCGGCUAUGGUGACAUGCUUCCACAAACGCCAAUCGGGAAGGUGAUCGGAGCCGCCUGUUGCAUCUGCGGGGUGUUGGUCGUCGCUCUGCCAAUCCCGAUCAUAGUUAACAAU
rfam:Mesocestoides corti genome assembly, scaffold: MCOS_scaffold0000293